rnacentral:rRNA from 1 species
AUUGAACGCUGGCGGCAGGCCUAACACAUGCAAGUCGAACGAGUGGCGGACGGGUGAGUAAUGUCUGGGAAACUGCCUGAUGGAGGGGGCUAACUACUGGAAACGGUAGCUAAUACCGCAUACCAUCAGAUGUGCCCAGAUGGGAUUAGCUAGUGGGUGGGGUAACGGCUCACCUAGGCGACGAUCCCUAGCUGGUCUGAGAGGAUGACCAGCCACACUGGGACUGAGACACGGUCCAGACUCCUACGGGAGGCAGCAGUGGGGAAUAUUGGACAAUGGGGGCAAGCCUGAUGCAGCCAUGCCGCGUGUAUGAUGAAGGCCUUCGGGUUGUAAAGUACUUUCGGCGGGGAGGCGGUACCCGCAGAAGAAGCACCGGCUAACUCCGUGCCAGCAGCCGCGGUAAUUC